AGUGAACGCUGGCGGUAGGCCUAACACAUGCAAGUCGAACGGCAGCACAGUAAGAGCUUGCUCUUACGGGUGGCGAGUGGCGGACGGGUGAGGAAUACAUCGGAAUCUACUUUUUCGUGGGGGAUAACGUAGGAAAACUUACGCUAAUACCGCAUACGACCUACGGGUGAAAGCAGGGGAUCUUCGGACCUUGCGCGAUUGAAUGAGCCGAUGUCGGAUUAGCUAGUUGGCGGGGUAAAGGCCCACCAAGGCGACGAUCCGUAGCUGGUCUGAGAGGAUGAUCGGCCACACUGGAACUGAGACACGGUCCAGACUCCUACGGGAGGCAGCAGUGGGGAAUAUUGGACAAUGGGCGCAAGCCUGAUCCAGCCAUACCGCGUGGGUGAAGAAGGCCUUCGGGUUGUAAAGCCCUUUUGUUGGGAAAGAAAAGCAGCAGGUUAAUACCCCGCUGUUCUGACGGUACCCAAAGAAUAAGCACCGGCUAACUUCGUG
rnacentral:rRNA from 1 species